rnacentral:rRNA from 1 species
UACGUAGGUCCCGAGCGUUGUCCGGAUUUAUUGGGCGUAAAGCGAGCGCAGGUGGUUUAUUAAGUCUGGUGUAAAAGGCAGUGGCUCAACCAUUGUAUGCAUUGGAAACUGGUAGACUUGAGUGCAGGAGAGGAGAGUGGAAUUCCAUGUGUAGCGGUGAAAUGCGUAGAUAUAUGGAGGAACACCGGUGGCGAAAGCGGCUUUCUGGACUGAAACUGACGCUGAGGCACGAAAGCGUGGGGAGCAAACAGG